CAGUCGAGCGGACCUUUUAAAGCUUGCUUUUGAAAGGUCAGCGGCGGACGGGUGAGUAACACGUGGGCAACCUGCCUGUAAGACUGGGAUAACUUCGGGAAACCGGAGCUAAUACCGGAUAAUAUAAGGAACCUCCUGGUUCUUUAUUGAAAGAUGGUUUCGGCUAUCACUUACAGAUGGGCCCGCGGCGCAUUAGCUAGUUGGUGAGGUAACGGCUCACCAAGGCGACGAUGCGUAGCCGACCUGAGAGGGUGAUCGGCCACACUGGGACUGAGACACGGCCCAGACUCCUACGGGAGGCAGCAGUAGGGAAUCUUCCACAAUGGACGAAAGUCUGAUGGAGCAACGCCGCGUGAGCGAUGAAGGCCUUCGGGUCGUAAAGCUCUGUUGUUAGGGAAGAACAAGUGCGAGAGUAACUGCUCGCACCUUGACGGUACCUAACCAGAAAGCCACGGCUAACUACGUGCCAGCAGCCGCGGUAAUACGUAGGUGGCAAGCGUUGUCCGGAAUUAUUGGGCGUAAAGCGCGCGCAGGUGGUCCUUUAAGUCUGAUGUGAAAGCCCACGGCUCAACCGUGGAGGGUCAUUGGAAACUGGGGGACUUGAGUGCAGAAGAGGAAAGUGGAAUUCCAAGUGUAGCGGUGAAAUGCGUAGAGAUUUGGAGGAACACCAGUGGCGAAGGCGACUUUCUGGUCUGUAACUGACACUGAGGCGCGAAAGCGUGGGGAGCAAACAGGAUUAGAUACCCUGGUAGUCCACGCCGUAAACGAUGAGUGCUAAGUGUUAGA
rnacentral:rRNA from 2 species